UACGUAGGGUGCAAGCGUUGUCCGGAAUUAUUGGGCGUAAAGAGCUCGUAGGCGGUCUGUCGCGUCGGCUGUGAAAACUCGGGGCUCAACUCCGAGCCUGCAGUCGAUACGGGCAGACUAGAGUGCUGUAGGGGAGACUGGAAUUCCUGGUGUAGCGGUGAAAUGCGUAGAUAUCUGGAGGAACACCGGUGGCGAAGGCGGCAUCCUGGACCGGCAUUGACGCUGAGGCGCGAAAGCUAGGGGAGCAAACGGG
rnacentral:rRNA from 1 species